rnacentral:rRNA from 1 species
AGAGUUUGAUCCUGGCUCAGAUUGAACGCUGGCGGCAUGCCUUACACAUGCAAGUCGAACGGCAGCACGGGGGCAACCCUGGUGGCGAGUGGCGAACGGGUGAGUAAUACAUCGGAACGUGUCCUGUAGUGGGGGAUAGCCCGGCGAAAGCCGGAUUAAUACCGCAUACGCUCUACGGAGGAAAGGGGGGGAUCUUAGGACCUCCCGCUACAGGGGCGGCCGAUGGCAGAUUAGCUAGUUGGUGGGGUAAAGGCCUACCAAGGCGACGAUCUGUAGCUGGUCUGAGAGGACGACCAGCCACACUGGGACUGAGACACGGCCCAGACUCCUACGGGAGGCAGCAGUGGGGAAUUUUGGACAAUGGGGGAAACCCUGAUCCAGCAAUGCCGCGUGUGUGAAGAAGGCCUUCGGGUUG